AUAACUUCUCGAAUCGCACGGCCUUGCGCCGGCGAUGGUUCAUUCAAAUUUCUGCCCUAUCAACUUUCGACGGCUGGGUCUUGGCCAGCCAUGGUGACAACGGGUAACGGAGGGUUAGGGCUCGACCCCGGAGAAGGAGCCUGAGAAACGGCUACUACAUCUAAGGAAGGCAGCAGGCGCGCAAAUUACCCAAUCCCGACGCGGGGAGGUAGUGACAAUAAAUACUGAUACAGGGCUCUUUAGGGUCGUGUAAUUGGAAUGAGUACAGUUUAAUUCCCUUAACGAGGAACAAUUGGAGGGCAAGUCUGGUGCCAGCAGCCGCGGUAAUUCCAGCUCCAAUAGCGUAUAUUAAAGUUGUUGCAGUUAAAAAGCUCGUAGUUGAACCUUGGGCCUGGCUGGCCGGUCCGCCUCACCGCGUGCACUGGUCCGGCCGGGCCUUUCCCUCUGGGGAGCCGCAUGCCCUUCACUGGGCGUGCCGGGGAACCAGGACGUUUACUUUGAAAAAAUUAGAGUGUUCAAAGCAGGCUUAUGCUCGGAUACAUUAGCAUGGAAUAAUGGAAUAGGACGUGCGGUUCUAUUUUGUUGGUUUCUAGGACCGCCGUAAUGAUUAAUAGGGACAGUCGGGGGCAUCAGUAUUCAAUUGUCAGAGGUGAAAUUCUUGGAUUUAUUGAAGACUAACUACUGCGAAAGCAUUUGCCAAGGAUGUUUUCAUUAAUCAGGAACGAAAGUUAGGGGAUCGAAGACGAUCAGAUACCGUCGUAGUCUUAACCAUAAACUAUGCCGACUAGGGAUCGGACGCUGUUGUCUUUUGACGCGUUCGGCACCUUACACGAAAGUACAAGUUUCUGGGUUCUGGGGGGAGUAUGGUCGCAAGGCUGAAACUUAAAGG
rnacentral:rRNA from 1 species